AUUGAACGCUGGCGGCAGGCCUAACACAUGCAAGUCGAACGAGUGGCGGACGGGUGAGUAAUGUCUGGGAAACUGCCCGAUGGAGGGGGAUAACUACUGGAAACGGUAGCUAAUACCGCAUACCAUCAGAUGUGCCCAGAUGGGAUUAGCUAGUUGGUGGGGUAACGGCUCACCAAGGCGACGAGCCCUAGCUGGUCUGAGAGGAUGACCAGCCACACUGGAACUGCGACACGGUCCAGACUCCUACGGGAGGCAGCAGUGGGGAAUAUUGCACAAUGGCGCAAGCCUUAUGCAGCCAUGCCGCGUGUAUGAAGGAAGCCUUCGGGUUGGUAAGUACUUUCAGCGGAGGAGCGUUUCCCGCAGGAGGAGCACCGGCUAACUCCGUGCCAGGCGGCGCGGUAAUUC
rnacentral:rRNA from 1 species